AUCGGUCCGGAGUCAAUGGGUUAUCAUAUUCAAAUGUAUUCUCCCAUUGAUAAUUGGAAUUAGACUGAAAA
rnacentral:snoRNA from 13 species